rnacentral:tRNA from 1 species
UUCCUGGUGGUCCAUUGGUUACGACUCACCACUUUCACUGCUAUGGCCCAGGUUCAAUCCCUGGUCUGGUAA